GCUCGCGAUGGCAGGCAGGCAGGCGGAGGCUCUCACUUCCUCCAUCUCCAUCCCCUCGAGACGUAAAAUCGUCAACCGCCCAUCCGGGCCAUGGACGCCAACUCGCGCCCCACCCAGGGGUCAGAUCCCGCGACCGGCGGCGGCGGCGGCGGCGGCGGCGCUGACCCGACCGCGCCGUCGGCGACUGGCGCGCAGCUCCAGCAAGAGGCGUGCGGCAAGAUCAUCAAUAAAAUCUUUGAUCUGGCCAUAUCCGUACACUCCGGCAGUCCAUCUUCCACCUUGCGCCGCUCCUCCGCGACCUGCACGCGCGCUACGGCCCCGUCAUCUCCAUCCGCCUCUUCCGCGCCCUCGUCUUUGUCUCCGACCGCCGCCUCGCCCAUCGCGUCCUCGUCCAGGGCGGCUCCACCUUCGCCGACCGGUCGCGGCUCUUCGAGCCGGGGCUCAUCUUCACGUUCGGCUCCCGCAACAUCAACGCCGCGCCCUACGGGCCUUACUGGCGCCUCGUCCGCCGCAACCUCGCUUCCGAGGCGCUGCACCCGGCCUGCGUCAGCCAGUUCGCGCCCGCGAGGCGCCAGAUGCGCGACACGCUCGUCCGCGACCUCCGCGUGCGCGCCGGUGCCGGAGACCCCGUAGAGGUGAGGACGCUGUUCUGGAACGCCAUGUUCAACCUGCUGGUGUACAUGAGCCUCGGUGUUAGGCUCGCCCCGGAGGUGCUCGACGAGAUGCAGGAUAUGCAGCUGUGGGUCGUCCGCGCCAUCAUCGGCUUCCCCAUCUUCUCCUUCUUCCCGGCGCUCACCAAGAGGCUCUUCCGCAAGCGAUGGGAGGCGCACCUUGCCGUCCCCCGGAGGCAGGACGAGAUAUUGCUCCUGCUGAUCGAAGCAAGGCGCUCUGUUUCCGUGCCCCGCGGCGCCGAUGACCCGCCGUGCUACGCCGACUCGCUUCUUGCGCUGCGCGUGGCGGACGAAGGCGACCGCCCGCUCACGGACUCUGAGCUCGUCAGCCUCUGCUCCGAGUUCUUGAGCGGUGGCACGAACAGCACGGUGACCUCGCUGGAGUGGAUCAUGGUGGAGCUGGUGAACCAUCCGGACAUGCAGGCCAAGGUCUACGAGGAGGUCAGGAGCAAGCCGGAGCUCAGCAGAGGCGACCUGCAGGGGAUGCCGUACCUGAAGGCCGUCGUCCUCGAGGGGUUGCGGCUCCACCCACCGGCCCACUUCCUCCUCCCUCACGGUGUACAGAGCGACAUGGAGAACGGCGGCUACAGGGUUCCCAAGGGCGCGGAGGUCAACUUCCUGAUCACCGAGUUCGGACGCUGGAGUCGACGAAUCUGCAGCGCUCUCUGUUGGGCGGCACUGUCGAGAUGCUGCCAGCAUGUUGCCAUUGCUGAACCCAAUCCCAGACAAAUUCGUGACUUUCACGUGGACAUAGCUGCAAGACAGCCGAGGAGAGGCUGCAUCGCCGCGCGUGGCGACGGUCGUGUGUUCUCUGGUGAUGGGGACGAUUGUCAGCUAGCUUAGUGCAACAGCCUAUCAUGUAUGCAGAGGAAGAACUCAACAAUCACACAUGCAAGCUAACAUUGAUCAAUUAUUAAGGUUGAACACUUAUGCUCCCAUUGCAAGGCAUAAACAUAUUUUCUAUGUGAUUAGUGUGGCUUUUUUCCCUCUCCUUCCGUGGCAACGCACGGGCGCUAAGAUAAUUCCGAUGAGUUAUCCCUAUGAAGAUCUCGAGCCCGCCAUGGUAGGACAACUUCGACCAUGGAGCGGAGCCCAGCGAGCGGGGUCCGGCACGUGCGGCAAGUGAUUUUUUGUUCUUAUUGACGACUUGUUCCUGCACAUACGUCUGGAGAAAGCAGAUGUAUAUGAUGCUGACUUUGAGAGGCUGAACUGAAGAACGUAAAAAAAAGAGGCUGAACUGAAUUAGGUUGAUAUGAAGGGAUUAACAGCGGAUCAACGGGCCACCAUAGUGGUGGUGGUCCGUGAUAUUUUAAGAUCAAACGGUGAGGCGAGCUCAGUUUGCACAGUCCUCCCCAAUGACCAUUUCAGAGCCUGGACAUAAGUAAAUUUCUGGUUGGUGUAUUUUCUACCUGUUCUAGCGACCAUUGUGCGCAAUUUAAACUAGCACGCCCGAUUAUGUUCUGUGGGUGUGCCCUCGGCUUGCAUGUAUCUUAUUAGAUACAAACAACCUUUCCAAGAUGGGCUCAGAAAAAGAUUCAGAAGCAGUGUGAUCGCCUCUUGUUCGGUAGCUCUGAACAUAAGAGGCAAUAAUUAUUUCAACAAUGUAAUGUACUACUCUUCAUUUGACAUCGAUUUACAAACAUAACAUGUAUGGAGAAGUUGCAACAUCUUUUAGUAAUAACUGUUGGUAACUUUGACAUUUCUUUGGACCAGUGAUGCUUACUCACAAUGAUCAUUCUUUGUCGAGUUCUUGAAGAACACCUACAGAAAGUCAUCCAUGGAUGAUAAGUUUUCUCCAUAAUAUCUUCACAUGGUUCCUCACCUACUUUUAGGAAAUUCUUUGCUUAAGUUACUGUAUAUUUAUCCAUGUCAAAGAUAAAUUUGCAAUAUGCUCAUUAAACUAAAACGUCAUUGAUGAAUUAUUGUUGUUCAGAUUAACUAGGUGAUGUGUACAGUCCCCCAAGCAAAAAUCAUUCAAUGUACUCUGCUUAUUUAUUCUGUCCAUGUUGUGUUUUCUCCUAUAAGUUGCAUGCUUGUUACAUAGGUCUGAAUUCCUACAGGCUCAGGAGGAUCUCAAUAUUGCUAAAGAAAGAGAUAAGGAUCAGCACUAUAAUUGUUGAAAAAAACUCAGAUACAUGUACCAUAUGAAUUAUCAUAUGCAGCGGGCACAAUAUGCUUUCUACAUGCCAUUUUCUUAUUGACUAAACAGUCUAAACCUGAGUACAUGACAAUUUUCAGUUCUCGUGUAAUUUGAACUCCUACCGGUUCAGAUUUCAGCAUUCCCUGCAAUUCUUGAUUUGCGUCGUGCUGCAGCACACAUGGCUCGUCGUCCUACCUGCUUCUGUGCCCUCUACUUCUUCCCACAAGAUUGAGUGGCAUGGGUUCUCAUUGGGCAAAUAAAGGUUAAGCUCGAGAUGAAACUUUUGGCGGAGAUACAGUUUUGAUAUACAACUUUACUUGGCUUUUAAUCCAUGUGGUACAGAAUUAUGUGAUGAUGGAGGAUGGAGCUGUCCUUUGAAGAAUUGUUUAAUGAACUAAAAAGUAGAAACAUCGUGUCUUGUUCAUGUGCCAAAUCAGCAUUGCAAUGCGCUGACUCAUGUGUGGCAUCCGUCUAUGUUGAUUAAUGGAACCUUUGAUAAUCAGUAGAUGCAUGCAUCACCUAUGAUAAUUAAUAUAUGUCAGGUACAAUAUUUGUCCAUGUGUUGUAUUUAAUUUGUAAAGUCAAUGUGUGUAGCACAAUGAAACGGAAGAGGUUUAAGUGGUCCAUCAA